AUGACCAGGGUUCUGGUGAGUGGCUACAGUGGAAAAUGGAUGGGAAAGAAGAUAGAGUCACUGAACAGACUCUGGCCCUUUCCAUCUGGAGCCCCAGGUCCAAAGAACAUAGAAGGUCCGACUGGAAGAGAACCUAGUAGAACUGAGAACUUGGGAGAUGCAAACCCACAGGAAGCCGUGACAGAUAAAGAAGGUCCAUGGAAAAGGGAAAGAACCAUGGACAGAGGGAUGGAGAGAGAGCAAAAAGGGGCACCAGACAGGCGGCACCCUGCUUUUCAUCUGAGUUGGACUCUGGUUUGGAAGAACAAAACAUGUUUGGCUCCAUCCUCUGUGCCCCAUGAAUACUUUAUUUCUGGCGAUGGGACCUGAAUUUCAUACUCUACCAGAUAUUGUGGGCAUAAGCACUUUAUAAUCGACACUGCCAAUCCCCUUCCAGAGAAACCGCCUCAGAUUAUACUCCCACAGAGAGAUCACCAGCCUCAGCAACAUUUCAUAUCAUCAUGCUUUUAAAUUAUUGCAAAUUACUUAAAGACAUCUCACUUUAAUUAUAUAAGCUUAGGCAGCUUUUCAUAGUCAUUGACCAAUUAUAUAUUUUUUCUUUGCUUAGUUUGUAUUUGGUUGUUUACAUCUUUCUUAUUGAUAUAUAAAGGGUUUGCUACAUAUUAAGGAAAUUAACUCUCUGCCGAGUGGAAGAAUUACUCCCCCACUUGUUAUUUUCAUGUUGUUUAAUUAAUUAAAUUAUUCAUAUCUUAAAAUGCAGAUUUAUACUCAUAUAAUGAAAUGUAUCAGUUUCUAUUGUAUUUUCUGAGUUUUUUGACGUGUUAAUGUACAUGAAGGCUAUCUGUUUAAUGUAGCAGAAUACAGAAAAAACAGUUAGAAUCUCAUCCCAGUCACUUGCCAAUCAGGGGACCCUGGACAAGUCACUUAAACUUCAAUUAGAGAGGAAACUUUCUCUUCUGCCUCUGUUUUUGUUUGCUGUCUUGUAAACUGAAUGAGACAAAGUUUACCAAGGCUCUGGAAUCCACCAUCUCCAUAAAUUAUAAAGCAGCUGCAAAUGGACAAUCACAUGUAAAGCAUUUUGAGAAGAUGAGCACCUCCCCUGAAUGAGGUAAGAUGGAAUGCAAAUUUGGGGGGUCAACUAAAUAGGCUUCUAGUAAGAUUAAGAAAGAGUUUCUUAAACAAAUUUUUCCCUGUUAAUCAGAAUUCCCCUUAAAGCAUGCUGUACAUCAUAAACCAUCAGGUCACCUAAAUGAUCUUCACAAUCCCACCAUUCAUGCCUUCUCCCUAGGGGUUCGAACCACAUGAGAACAGAAAGAGCAAGUGGUGGUCAAAAUAGGCCACUGGCUUACUGAUGGAAAAGGCUUUGGUGAAUGUGGGAAGACCUCAGACCACCUUCUCUGAACCUGAAUGUCACAACUGCACGUUCCAGCCUCAGCUAUCUGCUGCAAAUAGAAAUGCAGAAACCAGGGCUCUUUGCAGAGCCCUGGGCGGGCCACCAGAAGCCACCCUCCCCCCAACCGUGAAUUAUUUAUGGAUGGAUUCCCAGGAGCGAGGCUGUCUGUCAGUGCAUGACAGAGACCUCGUCCAGUGCAUGAAAGAGCGCACCCACACCAUGGCCAGAGUGUUUUUUGUGCUGCGGUCCUGCUGCUGAGCAAUGCACUCAAAGAGCUUUAAACUUUCCACAUUUCCCCCUUUCAGAUGAGGUCCAGCUGAUGAGGAAAGCAGGCAAGGAAAGGGAGAAAGGAAGCGCCAUGUUCCUUGGUAUUGCUCAUCUCGAGGUGUGCAUGGAACUCUUUCAUCUUCUACUGGAAAGGUGAGGGAGAUCAGUAGUCAUCCUUAAAGACUAUGGGCUUUGGUGCAGACCAUCUUGGCGCUGAAUCCACCUGAACCAAGUGGGCACCUUUGGGCAGUUACUUAAACCACGUGAGCCUUAGCCAUUGUGUCUCUGAAACGGGAUAUAAAUGCCCAUCUGCCAGACAAGGUGAGAGAAGGAAAGAGACAAUAUAUGUGAGGCACUUAGCAAAGUAACAAGCAGAAUGUGUACUUGAUAAAUGUUGAUUUUCGUUCUGUAUCCACUAACUGUCAUGUAAGGACCAGGUUUCACUUUGCUGUUUCACUAAAGGGGUUGUGAACAGCCAAGGUCAACCCUCAACCCACUAUUCUCUUUUGCAGCGUUGGAGCCAAGUACAAUUGCCUCACCCUUCCUCUUUACCUGCGAUUUCAUUUGCCAUGGUCUCAACUACCCAGGUAACCCCCAUGGACACUGAGAGAUGACUGGUUAAUAUUCAGUUCUGCCUUCAGUUUCAGGCAUCCCCAGAAGUCUUGGAACAUAUGCUGUUUGGAUGGGGGCAGGGGCUCUAUAACAGUGUUUCUUUCAUUCUCUUUCUCCUGAUUCCAAUAACCCAACCUUGGGUUCCACUGUGGUCCUCUUUAGAUGCCUCAUCUGGUUCUAUUUCUCUCCAUUUGUGGAGCAACAGCUUGGGUAAACUCCCUAAGACCAACAGAGUCCAGGAAGCACAGGUUCUUUUCUUCCUGCGCUCCCUGGAAGCUGUCUGCCCAUGGCAUGCCUUCCUCUUGGCCGGGACAGGAGAGUUCCCUUCUUUGAAUUGAUUUGGUUUCACUGAUUCCUCAUUUCCCUCCUUGCCAAAGAUUAUGGCUCCCCCUUCCUCAUAGAAUCUGAAAUUAGGGUUAUUAAUACCCAUGACCAGAUCUUCUGAAGAAAGCAGACCAUCUGGCACCUUUGGCAAGGAAUCAAAUUUAGCAUGCUAAGCCCCCUACCCCCUGAUUAAAUGAGAAGUACAAGCAGGAAUACCAAGUUUCUCAGUGUCUUCACCCAUUGGAAGAAGCCAGACAACAGAAUGGCUCCAGCUUUUGAGAAAACUCCCAUCUGAGGCCACAGAGCAGUCAGCCCUAGAGGGCAGUGACUUCUGAUGCAGACAUAUGGGGAGGUCAUUUGCUUCUCAUUUACCCAACAGAUAAGAAUAUGGAAAUAGUCUCAGUCCAUUUGUUUGAUGAGCCUCCUAAGCCGGUGAUAAACAAAUCAAUACAAUUAGUUUUGGCUCAUCAUCAUUAAGAAAGCUCCACUGCUGGGACACAAUUUAAUAAUACCUCUCCCUCCACAGGAGAGAAAACCUUUCAAGACUAGUGGCUUCCCUAGGGUUACAGCAUCACGGGAGAGGGUAAGCGGCUCCCAUGCAGUGUCCACAGGACUCCUUAGGGUACUGUUCAUCAUAAGGCCCAGCAAGAGUGGUGCAGGAUGGUCCUAUGUGCGCCUGAGAAUUCAUCUGAGCAAAUCUGCAUUCUGUGCAGAGUUUGGAAAUGCUACAAUGCAAACAGAUUGAAACAAUGAGUAAAAAUUAAAAUGACAUCUAAUCCAGCACUAAAAUCUAAACAGAAGCCAGAGUGCUGGAGUGAAUUCAAGUGCUUCCCCCACACUCUCUGUGAUUGUGAGAGCUACAGAAUAGCUUUCUGCCUCAGCCUUCCAGCCGAAUCUCCAGCACACUCUGACCAACAAGCAGCUAAUAUUAUGUAAAUGAGGCCUGGGAACAUCACAGGUUUUGAAUAACAUCUGUCUACUUCUCGGAUGGGUUGUUUUAUCUGGUGGAGAAUCUUUCUGGCAUCUUCUCAUUUGCUUCUCUUACCAAGAAGAUCUCACCCUUAACACCAAUUCUAAAGGGAUAAUUGUUCAAUUAAAACAAUGGCCAUUUAGAUUUGGAAAUAAUCUUGAAAAACUCAGUUCAGAUAACAUACUACAUUUCAAAUGAGGAAAUUCAUUUGAAGGCCCAGAGAGGUUAUUUGUCCUGGUUACAAGACUUGAUGAACCAAAAUGUGAUGCUUGACUCCAAAGCUUGAUUGGAGGGUUUCUUCCUCUAUAGUAGCCCAACAGUUUGAAAUUUCCGAAGUUCUCCUUUAAGGAAGAUUCCAAGUAACAAAACAUCUUGGAUGAUUAAUUCUUUAUUUUAACUUGCAGUCCUUUCCCACUGGGUUCCUAAGUGAGCAUUAGUGAAGUAAAGUGAUUUAUCCAAGAUCAAGGAGCUUCUAAAUUAUAGGAGACAGACAUUAAUUAUAUACAGUUAUUCCAAAGUUUACUUUAUGUCACCUAUACACCUAAAGUACUCUGGGACACUCACUGAUUUAAAAGCUAACUUUUAAUCACAUGGAAGAGCCUUGGAUUCUACUACCAACACAAUCUACUGAGGAGGGCUUGUUGAUCUUUUUUAUCAGUCUAUGAAGAAAGUGAGAAAUAACAUUAAAAAUGUAAACUAAGGAAUGACCGCUGUAGUACUUAGCAUUACUCACCAAAUCGUGAGACUUUUCACACCAGUGUUUAAGAUCACAAAGGCAGACUUAAUGUGUAUUCUCACCAGAACUACAGAUCCCACCCAGCUCACACGGAACAACGUUGUGAUGACAAUUCCAAACUUGAAGGAAGAAAAACAACUUUACCUAGAAAUAGAAUUUUCCUCCAAGAGAAUUUAGAAAUAAGAUGGCUAGACAUUUAAGAUGAUAUGGAUUCUAGAAGGCGCAGGAUGUGGUCAAGAAUCUUUAGCCCUCAGAAUGGAUAAGAAAUGUAUUAGGAAAGCCACAGCAGGAGUAUGUUUAGAAAGCUGCGGGCAAGAUUGAGUCAAGGUUGUGAUAAGACACCAAGACAUUCUGACAACAUAUUCUUGUAUUUCAAAAACUUCACAUCCUCACAGAAAUUUAUGGUGAUACUGAUACAACAGAAAGGCCUGCUAAGGGCAUGGGUAGAGAUGACAGCACAGCUCUGAUGAGAAAACAGAAUAAAUGUGGAGGUGUGGGAUUUCUACAUGAACCUGUUCAAUUUGAAAAUUCCUUAUAAAUUCAUUGAUAUCAAUCUGAAAAUGGUCUGAGUGACUAAGUUCAAUACCUCUUCUUUUUUGGUACAAUAUUAAAAAUAUAAACUUGGCCAAGUAAAUUAGUACAGGUAAGAUAUGUGUUAAAAUCGUACUAGACUGAGUAAUAAAAAGACAGAAAUCAUAUUCAUCAUUUGCACUGUUUUUAUGCUGAAGUGCUCACAACAUAUCUAUGUCUGUUAUCUCAUUUAAAGCACAGACAAGCAUUCCCUUUGGAGAGUCCAGAAAGUUU
ensembl:lincRNA